rnacentral:rRNA from 1 species
UAACGAUGAAGAGUUUGAUCCUGGCUCAGGAUGAACGCUAGCGGCAGGCCUAACACAUGCAAGUCGAGGGGUAACGGGGAGCUUGCUCCGCCGACGACCGGCGCACGGGUGCGUAACGCGUAUACAAUCUACCUUUUGCUGAGGGAUAGCCCAGAGAAAUUUGGAUUAACACCUCAUGGUAUAUAGAGAUCGCAUGGUCUUUAUAUUAAAGGUCACGGCAAAAGAUGAGUAUGCGUUCUAUUAGCUAGAUGGUGUGGUAACGGCAUACCAUGGCAACGAUAGAUAGGGGCCCUGAGAGGGGGAUCCCCCACACUGGUACUGAGACACGGACCAGACUCCUACGGGAGGCAGCAGUGAGGAAUAUUGGACAAUGGGCGAGAGCCUGAUCC